rnacentral:rRNA from 1 species
AGGCGCGCAAAUUACCCACUCCCAGCACGGGGAGGUGGUGACGAUAAAUAUCGAUGCGGGACUCGUCAUGAGGCUCCGUAAUCGGAAUGAGUGAGAUAUAAAUCCUUUUACAAGGAUCAAUUGGAGGGCAAGUCUGGUGCCAGCAGCCGCGGUAACUCCAGCUCCAAUAGCGUAUAUUAAAGUUGUUGCAGUUAAAAAGCUCGUAGUUGGAUCUUGGUCGCAUUGUUGCCUGCCAUCGCUUGGCUUGUGGGAUGGAGUUGUGUGCUUUGCACUGGCUUUGUCUUGCUUGUUGAGUUGGCGUGGUGGAGGUGUAGCCUUUCAGCCAUGUCUGUGGUGAAAUACCCAUGGGUGUAGGCGAGUGUCAGGCGGUGCCUUGCAAUAGUAGGGCCUGUCGGCUUGUCUGCAUGCCUUUGGAUGCCCUUUAAAAGGUGUCUGUGGGCAGAUGGCACGUUUACUUUGAACAAAUUUGAGUGCUCAAAUCAGGCCGACGUUGCCUGAAAAGUUUUGCAUGGAAUAAUGGAAUAGGACUUCGGUUCUAUUUUGUUGGUUUUCGGAUCCGAAGUAAUGAUCAAAAGAGACAGGCGGGGACGUUUGUAUGGCUGCGCUAGAGGUGAAAUUCAUGGACCGUGGCCAGACAGACUAAAGCGAAAGCAUUCGUCAAGCAUGUUUUCAUUGACCAUGAGCGAAAGUCAGAGGCUCGAAGACGAUCAGAUACCGUCCUAGUUCUGACCAUAAACUAUGCCAACUGACGAUCCGUGAUGGUAGUAUUAUAACCUUCCGCACGGGCAGUCCCCGGAAAACCAUUAAGUCUUUGGGUUCCGGGGGAAGUAUGGUUGCAAAGCUGAAACUUAAAGGAAUUGACGGAAGGGCACCACCAGGAGUGGAGCCUGCGGCUUAAUUUGACUCAACACGGGGAAACUCACCCGGGCCGGACACUAUGAGGAUUGACAGAUUGACAGCUCUUUCAUGAUUUGGUGGUUGGUGGUGCAUGGCCGUUCUUAGUUGGUGGAGCGAUUUGUCUGGUUAAUUCCGAUAACGAACGAGACUCUUGCUUGCUAAUUAGUGUGCUCGUCCACUGUGCCUGUGCAGGUGGCGUUUCUGCGAUUCUGCUCUAUCAAAGUGGCUUGUUGGAAGCGUGCGAUGGUUAUGCUGUUGUGCGUGGAAAGCUUGUCGCUGGAGUGGAUGGUUAGGCGUUGCUUCCGGGUGCGGCGCGAGCAUAUGACUUCUUAGAAGGACAAACGGCAGAAUCCGCACGAAAUUGAGCAAUAACAGGUCUGUGAUGCCCUUAGAUGUCCGGGGCCGCACGCGCGCUACAAUGACGAUGGCAACGAGUCUGACCUUCUGGCCCGAAAGGGUUGGACAAACUGGUCAAUCAUCGUCAUGACAGGGAUUGGGGCUUGUAAUUGUCCCCAUGAACGAGGAAUUCCUAGUAAGUGCAAGUCAUCACCUUGCGCUGAUUACGUCCCUGCCCNUUGUACACACCGCCCGUCGCUACUACCGAUUGAAUGGUUUAGUAAGGUCAUUGG